rnacentral:rRNA from 1 species
AACGAACGCUGGCGGCAUGCCUAACACAUGCAAGUCGAACGAGACCUUCGGGUCUAGUGGCGCACGGGUGCGUAACGCGUGGGAACCUGCCCUUAGGUUCGGAAUAACUCCCCGAAAGGGGUGCUAAUACCGGAUAUUGUCUUCGGACCAAAGAUUUAUCGCCUUUGGAUGGGCCCGCGUUGGAUUAGCUAGUUGGUAGGGUAAAAGCCUACCAAGGCGACGAUCCAUAGCUGGUCUGAGAGGAUGAUCAGCCACACUGGGACUGAGACACGGCCCAGACUCCUACGGGAAGCAGCAGUGGGGAAUAUUGGACAAUGGGCGAAAGCCUGAUCCAGCAAUGCCGCGUGAGUGAUGAAGGCCUUAGGGUUGUAAAGCUCUUUUACCCGGGAUGAUAAUGACAGUACCGGGAGAAUAAGCUCCGGCUAACUCCGUG